AGCUGGAACUCCAGGCGCCCGCCAUUAUGCUCGGCUCAUUUUUUGUGUUUUCAGUAGAGACGGGGUUUCACUGUGUUAGCCAGGAUAGUCUUGAUCUCCUGACCUCGUGAUCCUGACCUCGGCCUCCCAAAGUGCUGGGAUUACAGGCGCCAGCCACCGCGCCCGGCAGCAAUAUGAAGUUCUAAAAGCAAGUCUUCAUCAGGAAGUGUCCUUGAUCACCAAAGGCUCGCCCAGGCAUGCUGGCUCUCUUACACUUCCACCUUCCACCAUGGGAUGACGCAGUAAGAAGGCCAUCAGUAGAUGCCAGUCCCUCAACCUUGAACUUUCCAGAUGCAGAACUUUUAAACAUUUCAUUCCAUCAUCGUGUUCCUGGUUUCUAUGAGAACUCCACUGUCAUUCUUAUUCUUGUUCCUCUAAAUGUGAGGUAUUUUUUUCUCCUUGGGCUUCUUUCAAGAUUUUUCUCAUUGACUCUGGUUCGCUUAUGACAUGCCUAGGUGUAGUCCAUUUUGAGUAUUAUGUAAUGAGACACCAGAUCUUAUUUCAACCUUCUGUUUUGGCUGGAUUUCCUCUGAAACUGCUCUGGCAGCAAAGGAGGAAGGGUUACUCCCAGCUAGGGUUAUAAUUCCAGGUCCCUCACCUGGCCGCUGGGGAAGAGGCUCCGCAUUACUGCGUGACAGAGAUGCAAGUUCUGAAUCACCUCUAGGCCUCCACUGAGACGCUCCAUCUGGGAUGACUGGAAUUUU
rnacentral:lncRNA from 1 species